AGGCUCCCAGACGCUCUGCGCGGGACGCAUGCGCCGCUCGUCCUUCAAGUACAGGAGGGCGGGGCCGCGCUAGUGAGGAAUUCCUGCUUCGGUCCCUGCACUGUCCAACCCGAAGUUUAAAAAGAGGAACCUACAACUCGCGUUUUCCUGACUCUUCUAGACAGGACUGAACACUGGGACAUCCGUCCGACUGUGGCAUUGCGGGCCCGAACAGGCCGAGGCUGUAGUUCCGGCAUUUCCAAAAUUCAGUUUUUUCUUAAGAGUUUGCCACACAGUACACAGCAAGUGGAGCUCACGGAGCAUGCUCCUGAGGGGCGUCCUCGGCGUCGGGACGUCGGGGGCGUGGGAAAAAGCGGGACGCGGAAGCGCCCAGAACGCCGCACCGGAAGCGGUGGCGCCCCAGGGGGGCGUGUCCGGGAACUGCGCACGCGCCGCCUCUCCACGCUCUGCGCACGCGCCCGGGGCGGGACUCCCGGUCUCCAUGGCGACCGGACGCGGUCGGCUCCUGCAGCAGCACUGGCUUGGCCUCCAGGCUCUGUACUGGCCCCUGCGCGGCCGGGGGUCGGCUUGCGAGAACCCUGGGGAGGCCGCGCGGUGCCCAGGGCCUUCGGGGCUUAGAAAGGGACCAGGGGUCAGAUUCGCUGUGGGCCGCGCUGCUGGAAGACCCUGUGCCAGGCACACACAGCACUGUGAGAGGUCCUCUGGCUGCCCUGUGUCCCUGGCGAGAAUGCCUUCAGAAAUCUUGUUGAAGAUACUUUCCUACCUGGAUGCUGUAAGUUUGCUGUGCAUUGGAUGUGUAAGCAGGCGCUUUUAUCAUCUGGCCAAUGACAAUUUUAUUUGGAUCAGAGUCUACUCGGCUGCCUUUCCACCUAGAAGAUCCAAUUGGAAAGUGGAUGCAGUGGAAGGGGCAGCUGAGGAGACCAGCGUACUAUCCUCUGGGGAAAAAGAAGCCGGAUACUGGAAGAAAGAAUAUAUUACAAAGCAGAUGGCAUCCGUGCAGGGGGCACUCGCUCAGGUCCUGAGACCUGUCAACCCCUACACAGGCCUGCCAGUGAAAACCAAAGAGGCCCUCAGAAUAUCUGGUUUAAGCUGGGCAAUUAUAUUGAAAGAGAAAAGUGGAAAAGAAUAUAUCAUGGACCAUGUUGAUCUUUCCUUAAAUGAUACAUCAGUUACUGUGGUGUGGUAUGACAAAAACUGGCCAUGUUUAGCCUCGUUGUCAACCUUAGAUUUGUGUGGUGUGACACCAGUUUUUAUGGACCGGUAUAAACUCUCCACCAAAAAUGGACCUCGUUGGUAUUCUUUAAUUGCAAAGUAUGACCUCAGUCAUUUAACUGAGUGCACGCUGAUUGGCUGUGACAGACUCAUUCGGAUCUUCUGCCUAAACCCUGGCCUCCUGGUGGGGCUGUGGAAGAAGGAGGAAGAGCUGGCUUUUGUUAUGGCAAAUCUUCAUUUCCAUCACCUUGUGGAGAGGAGCACUUUAGGCUCGGCCACUGUUCCUUAUGAGUUGCCUCCUCAUAGUCCCGUUUUGGAUGACAACCCAGAGUAUGGACUACAUGGCUACCAGCUCCACGUGGACCUGCACAGUGGUGGAGUUUCCUACCUGUGUGGUACAUUUCGUAAUCUCUUCACCAAGCGAGAACACAUUGAAAAUGGACACAUCAAGCUCAUUGUUAUAAAUGUUACAAAUAACAGAGAACACCUACCUCUUGUUGGAAAAAUUGGCCUUACUUGGAGAACUAAUAUAUUUUAUGGCUUUAUAAAGUCAGUCUCCUGAGCAUGCCGUCAGCGCGAUCUCUGUGUGGUGCUGUGCAGGCCAGGCUCUCUCUUCCCUGAUUGGUGAGGAGCCCAGAGAGAAGACAUUCUUGCAUAUGAACUUCACAUGUGAACUUGGGAUUACACAGCGUGUGUUCUCAGCAUUCAGCAGCUACGUUACUGUUUAACGAAGCAGCGUGGAGUAGAGAAGUGGCCUGGCUCUCGAGGAAAUCCUCUGAAGAAAUUAUUGUAACUUAAAAGAGCGAGGCACAGCGCAAUACAAGAGACUCUAAGAAACAGUGCCCUUGUUCAAUGAGUGGAAGGUUCCUGUUUUGCAAAAUCAUGUGUGUUCUCAUCAACAGGAACUGACUCAUGCUAGGGAUCUGGUUGUGAAAACUCCCUCUCGGCUGUGAAGAAGAAAAAAAAAUCUAAGAAUUAUUGCAGGAAAAACAUGAAGGAAUCAUAGCCUUUGUAUCAAGCUGCAGAGAAGGCUAAUGUUUUAAACAUAUGCAGCACCGAACAUCAUUGUAGUUUAAAGUGAAUCACUGUCUGAUUUAAUCAUCGCUAGCCCAGAACAGAAUACAUUUGGAAAGGCUGCCUGCUGCUGACUCUGUUUAGUUCAGGAUUUACUACUUUUUAUUAUCCUUGGAGAGUAGGAAGUCUGAAUAAAUUACCUCUGGAUUCACGGCCUCCGCUUUCUAACUUGUGUUGCUUCCUCUUAAUUGCUCAUAGGAGAACGCGAAAUAAGUUAUUUGGGUGCCUUUCGUUGUCUGGAGCACGUUUCACUCGCAGAACCUGGGUGCUUUGUGGAGUCUCACUGUACUUCGGAAUAAUGAAGUCUGGUGGAUGCCAUACUUGCUCCACAUGUCAAAAACUGCCUCCUGGAGUCUACAUCAGAGUGAGCAGUCAAUAAAUAUUGUGAACUGAGCUUCAAACAACUUCCCUCUAAGAAGCCAUCCGCGUGGAGUCGUCUCUGAGCAGCGACAAAUCUCCAACCAGUGAGCCUGAGCUUCCGGCAGAAGACGGUGCCCUCGCGGGGAGUGGUGAGGAGCACCCGGACGCUGCACGCCCAGUGCAGUCCUGACGAGGCACUGUGGGAGAAUCCCUCCUCAGCCUUGGGGCAAAAGCCACCCCUCCCUCUGCUAGGUGGCGUAUCUGGGGUGGUUAGCAUGGCGGCGAGACCUUGUGUGAGUGGGCUGUGAAAUCCCUUCUCAGGCAACAUCCUGGAGGCAGACGGAGAUGAGAGGAAGGGGCAGAGCGACCGUUACCACGCCAAUCUGCCUGUCGUGAGGCUGAUGGUGUCAGCGGGAGCCGUGUAAACAUGGCCCUGAGACAACAAGCCUGAGCCAGGCCCCUCUGCUUCUGAGGCCAAGGGCAGGGUGGGUGUGGUUUGAGGCGGCACUCAUUCACCCCUGCUUCUCCAGGCUGUAUUUCGGGGAGUGGAGGUGAGAGACGCGUGAGCAUCUGGCUGACUUCUGCAUCCUGGCACUAACAGCUGGUCUGUGGGGCUGGGGCCUGGGCCCUCAGAAGAGACAAUUCCACGCCCUCCACCCACCUGAGACACGGCGACGGUCCUUCCACUUGGUUCCUCUGCUCAGUAGCUGAUGGCAUCUCGCUCCUCGAUUUGCUCGUGCCUCCAUCAUCUAGAUCUUUCCACCAGGGUGAAGCAGGGAGUUUGUUUCCGAGGUUUGAGUCCCAGCACAGGCUGAGUCCUGGCUGCUGAAUCAUGGAACGGAGCAACCAACCACUCAGCUCUCACUGCCUGAAGCCAACACUGUGGACGUGUCCGUGGGUAUUGAUAACCGUGGGACACUCGUCUCCCGGGACAGGCGGCACUGGUAUUUUCUGGACCUUGUCAAUGUGGGACCUGAACCCUUGCGCCCUCCCCGUGAACUUCGUGCAUCAGCUUAGGUGUAAUUAGGUGUAAUUUCUAAAGCAAGGUGGGAUCC